GACGAACGGUGCAAACGUUGUUCGGAAUCACUGGGCGUAAAGGGCGCGUAGGCGGCUUAUCAAGUCGGGUGUGAAAUCCUCCGGCUUAACUGAAGAAUUGCGUUGGAUACUGCUGGGCUUGAGGGAAGGAGGGGGCGGCGGAACUCCCGGAGGAGAGGUGAAAUGCGUAGAUAUCGGGAGGAACGCCGGUGGCGAAGGCGGCGGACUGGGCUUCUUCUGACGCUGAGGCGCGAAAGCGUGGGGAGCAAACAGG
rnacentral:rRNA from 1 species